GCCUGGGCCUUCCCUCCAUGGGUUUUUGCACGGUCCUUCUCCGAAACCCCCGGGCCUUCCUCCUCCGCUUGGGCCUUCCCUGCCCCGGCUCGGUAACCCUACUAGCAGCCUCUUCCCCCUUAGGCCUCCCCUCCCUGGGUUUCUGCACGGGCCUUCUCCGCCUGGGCCUGGUGACUAUGUGGGAGGCUCGACCACCACCCCCCUCGAGUUUAACUCUGGAUCUCUGC
rnacentral:lncRNA from 1 species